AGACACGCUGGAGUUUAACAAACAGCAAUACUCUUCGCGCUCCUGAAAAGCAGGGCUGGACGCUCUCCGUGGUGCUGAAACGCCUCGCAGCCGCCGCUGUCCGUGGUAUCUACGGCCCCCUCGCUCCAAUUUCCCCUGGGGCUCUCCCUCCGCGCCCCUGUUCCCCGCCUCCCUUUAACAUCUGGAUUAUUCUUUUCAAUAGCGCUUUCUGGUUUUGUAAGUGCCAAUUUGAAACAUUUUUGUCCCCAUAACUCGUGGACUACAAAGCACAAGGACCUGAAAAAUGCACAGCUUCAAUACUCUUCGACUCUACCUUUGGGAGACCAUUGUAUUCUUCAGCCUUGCUGCUUCUAAGGAGGCUGAAGCUGCUCGCUCCGCACCCAAGCCUAUGUCACCCUCGGAUUUCCUGGAUAAGCUAAUGGGGAGAACCUCUGGAUAUGAUGCCAGGAUCAGGCCCAAUUUUAAAGGUCCCCCAGUGAACGUGAGCUGCAACAUUUUCAUCAACAGCUUUGGUUCCAUUGCUGAGACAACCAUGGACUAUAGGGUCAACAUCUUCCUGCGGCAGCAAUGGAACGACCCCCGCCUGGCCUAUAACGAAUACCCCGAUGACUCUCUGGACCUGGACCCAUCCAUGCUGGACUCCAUCUGGAAACCUGACCUGUUCUUUGCCAACGAGAAGGGGGCCCACUUCCAUGAGAUCACCACAGACAACAAAUUGCUAAGGAUCUCCCGGAAUGGGAACGUCCUCUACAGCAUCAGAAUCACCCUGACACUGGCCUGCCCCAUGGACUUGAAGAAUUUCCCCAUGGAUGUCCAGACAUGUAUCAUGCAACUGGAAAGCUUUGGAUAUACCAUGAAUGACCUCAUCUUUGAGUGGCAGGAACAGGGAGCCGUGCAGGUAGCAGAUGGACUAACUCUGCCCCAGUUUAUCUUGAAGGAAGAGAAGGACUUGAGAUACUGCACCAAGCACUACAACACAGGUAAAUUCACCUGCAUUGAGGCCCGGUUCCACCUGGAGCGGCAGAUGGGUUACUACCUGAUUCAGAUGUAUAUUCCCAGCCUGCUCAUUGUCAUCCUCUCAUGGAUCUCCUUCUGGAUCAACAUGGAUGCUGCACCUGCUCGUGUGGGCCUAGGCAUCACCACUGUGCUCACCAUGACCACCCAGAGCUCUGGCUCUCGAGCAUCUCUGCCCAAGGGUCUGAUUUGAAAUUCCCACUGGGCAGGCAUGACCUCAGCAUUAGUCCCCACCAUCUUGGCUCCAGCAUACAAGCAGGCCUGGUAAUGGGCCUCCACAGUGUCCCUGCCAUAGGCUUUGCCUGCUCCCACACUGCAGUAAUAUGGACCCUGGGGUCCUGGGAAGCCAUUGGAAGGCCAACGAAAGGGGUGCCCAUCUGUCCCCAUGAGGGUAUAUUCCUGCUCCAUGCCAAACCAGAGGUGCUGGUUGUUCACCAUGUCCAUUAUCCACUUACAGGUGUGCCUCAAAUUGGUCACUGCAGGCUUUCAGUUGUACUCUAAAACUUCACAGAACACCAGCUUGUAGGGUCCUUACUGAAGGUAUCCCAAAACAUGGCAGCAGGCAUGAAAUGCAUGUCACUGUUGGAGCCUUCAGACUGUAAAAUACUAGAGCCAUCAAAAUUCCAGGCUAGGCACGGUGGCUCAUGCCUGUAAUCCCAGGACUCUGGGAGGCCAAGGCGGUUGGAUCACCUGAGGUCAGGAGUUGGAGACCAGCCUGGCCAACAUAGUGAAACCCCGUCUCUACUAAAAAUACAAAAAAUUAGCUGGGCGUAGUCAUGCACACCUGUA
rnacentral:sRNA from 1 species